rnacentral:lncRNA from 10 species
GUUGCCCUGGAAGAGCUUCUUUGGCCUCAGGGAAUGUCAAGAAGUUGGGUAAAAUGAAAGGGAGAGAUCUGUCAUCUGACACUGAGCUUCUUUGAGGAAACUUCAUUCAGUCAUUCAACAAAUAUGUAUUGAGCUUCAGUUCCCUAGAGGCAACAAUCCAGAUGCAAUCUGCUCUCUGGAUUUAUGAUUUAAUGGAGCACACAGAUCCUACCAACUUCACUUCUUGGCCUUAUAGGAAGGAGCCACAGUCCCAAAGAAGUCUGGGGAGAGCAGGAUGUGGCAGAGAACAAUGAUCGGUGCCUUGUUUCAGGAGGCAAACGUGGCCCAAUCCAGGGAAAUCAGCAGAUGGCAUGUCAUGGCCAUCGCAGAUCUGAGGAGCUGGCCUUUGGGUGAUUUCUGGUCCACAUGACAAACAUUCAAGGUGAAUUAGAGGAGAAAAGCUACAUGAAGUGAUGUGCAAGUUGAAAAGAGAAAAGGGUGUGGUGCUAUCCAGGAACCAUCUAACGAAAAACCUCUUGCAAGGCAGAUUGAGAAUUUUAAAACAACACUCUCCGACCCAACUGCCCCGUGACAUCUGUUAACACAAAAGGCAGAACUAUUUCCAGGAAAAGCUCUCAGUGUUUGCAAGGGUGAGACCCUUCUGAUGUUUUUGCAACUUUAGUUAAAGAGCCGAGGGAUGGAUUCACAUCCUCGGCAUUUCCCAUGGGGGAACUCACAGACCGGUUGUACACAAUGGUGUACAUUCAAAUGAAAAGAGAAAAAGUCAAUCAGUUAUCCAGAUGUUUUUGAAUUGUACCUGGACAUAGCCACAGUGGGGAUUUGGUCCAUGGUAAUAAUAUAUUAUUCUUGCAAGAUGGUGAGAGAAAAAUGUUCUGAAAGGAAAAAGAAUGUGUUUUCUUCAUACCCUUUUAUACUUUCUUCUCCUUUUGGGGUUUAUGUUUAACAGCAUCCAGCAAAACAGAACAUGGAGACUGAGGACAGAAAAGAGAAAGAAGCGUAGGGCAAGACCCCUCCUCCAAAUUGCAGGUGGGUGCUCCUGGUUGGAUAGAAAUAGACUUGGAGUGGGGUAGGAGUUGUGGAAACAAUACUUAGGCAGAGCCUGGCAGCUCCAGGGUGAAGGAGCAGAUACAUAGUAGGUGGGCACUCAGAAAGUAUGAAUGGCAUUAAACACGACAGUUUGUUUCUCACAUAGUUUUUUAGUAUUUCUUUCUUUGAAGUCUAAACUUUCACCAUUAGAAAUCUAGUUCUUUGACUUAAGGAAAAGGUUCUCAGACAUAAGUGUGCAUAGGAGUCAUCCUAGAAAUAUGUUAAUUUGCAGGUUUCUGGGUGGAGGCCACUCUCAGAGAUUCAGAUUCAGUAGGUCUGGGGUGGUUCCCAUGAAUGUGCACUAUGAACAAGUAUCCCAAAUGGUUCUAGCGUGUCUCUACUUUGUGAGACAAUUAAGGCAUUGCCUAUUCCAGCUAUUCUCUUUCAAAAGAAGACACAGGCUGCAAAGAGUAACCGUCCAUCCACAGUAUGGGAACCAGGUUCCAGAAAAGCUAGGGUCUAAUCUCAGCUCUCCACCCUUCUUGCUGUAUGAUUUUGCGCCAUACAAAUACACUCUAAGAAAUUCAUUUUCCUCACCCACAAAAUGGAGAAGAAAAUUUUAGCCUAAAUACCUGUCUGACUGAUGGGUCAAUGUAAUAACAUUAUUAAAUAAAAUGAUUAAUGUAAAAGCCUUGAAGAGGCUUUGAAAAGUAUUUCAUUCUAUCCACAUAUAAAUUGUUCUUAUUAUUUCCCAUUAUCACCCAUUAACACAUGCAUUUGAACUAGUUUGCGAGAUUAAGCAUUAGUGUAAGAGAUGAACUUAGAGCGUAAGGGAUAGCUCAGAAAGGGAAGGUGUGGGUAGUGCCACUGUGGCUUGCCCAAGGCUGCCAGGACGGCUCAGGAGGACCCCGAGAUGGGGAGAUAGGCGAAGUAUGGGGAUGAGGGGUGGGGUGAGCAUUGGAGAAAAUCUGAACUUCACAGUUUUGUUUCAGGUUUCAGGUUAUUGGGCACUAAUAAUGUGCUUGGGGAGAGUUCUGUGUUUUUUACUCUCAAGAUAUUUUAAUAAGCCUUGAGAGACCCACAGAGUAGAGUGUAGGAGGACAGUUUUUUGUGGAAAAAUAAAGAAGAGGAACAUUAUGGAAAUUGUAUGGGAAAAGAAUCAGCUUCAAUGUAAAACUUAAAGAACGUAUUCAAACCAACCACAGACGGCCUCUCACCUUCUGGAUAAUCUUGCUCUACUUUUGGACAACAAGAAUGGUUGGCUAUCUUCAUAUCCCCUAGGCUGGUUUAGAAAUAGCCACUUCCUUUGGGAAUUCAAGCCAAUAAAGAACCCUGCCUUCCAAGGGUGGAGAACUGAGCUAUGUGUGUGUGCAUUCAUCUCCCACAAAGAGGGGCGUAACAUCUCCAUCUCCCCUGCUGCUUGCGAUUAGCAAAUUUGGGAACAGGGGAAUGAUGCCUGUCUCUUCCUUAGCACAGAACGUCAGAGGCCCGAAGAUGUGAUUCCUAAGGGAAGGGAGGAAAUAUGUACAGGGUGGACUGGGGAGCAGGGCCAGUUGCACAAGGAGCCUGCAGUGGAGAGCUCAACAUGAGCCUGGAUCCAGCAGAUUACAUCUUGGCCAGCUAGACCAUUCUGAAUCAGACAGAUCCCGAAG